ACAGGUUGGUUGGUCAGCCUGUGUGAUCCCCAGAACUGGAGAUUUGUGGGUGCAGGAAAGGACUCUGGAGAGUGUCUGAUCCAAGCUCCUUGCUCAUACAGGAGCAGCAGGAAUAGGUUCCUCAGGACCUUCUGGGUUUUGAAUAUCUCUAAGGUUGGGGCCACCACAACUUCUUUGAGCAGCCUGUUCCAUCUUCACAGUAAGAUGUCUUUUUUCUCUGUUUAAACAGAAUUUCCUGUAUUUCAGCCUGUGUCUCCUGCCCCUUCUGUCACCCAGAAGAGUCUGGCUCUCUUCUAUUCCCCUCUGUACAAACUGAUAUGAUCCCCCUGAGCCAUGUCUUUUUAAGUUGACUGACCAGGCUCUCUCAGAUUCUCCUCAUAUGUCAGAUCCUCCAAUCCCAUUGUCAUAAAAUCACAGAAUGUUUUGGGUGGGCAGAGACCUUAAAAAUCAUCUAGUUUGAACCCCCUGCCAUGGGCAGGAGCACCUUCCUCACUCCAUGUCCCUAAUAACACCUAAUAAAAGAACAUGCCACCAAAGAAAACAGCUAUUUACCAUGAGGUGUUAAAAUUCUGCCUCCCAACUCUGGCAUUUAAAGGUCAUCUGUUUCAUGCAAGGUAUAGUGUUAGAGCAGGCAGAAUGAAGUAGCCAUUACAUACCUAAAAUGGAAUCACACAUGGCUCAUGUCAGCCUGAGGAAGAGAAGGGUCCAGGGAGACCUUGGAGCCCCUUCCAGUACCUAAUGAGGCUUCAAGAGAGCUGGAGAGGGACUUGGGAGUGACAGGACAAGGAGCAAUGGCUUCCCAUUGCCAGAGGGCAGAGUUAGAUGUGAUAUUGGGAAAGAACAAGUGGUGAGGCCCUGGCACGGAUUGCCCACAGAAGCUGCGGCUGCUGCAUCCCUGGAAGUGUCUCAAGGCCAGCUUGGAUGGAGCUUGGAGAGGAACAGUGGAAGGUGUCCCUGGCAAGGAAUAGAAUGAGAUGGGCUUUAAGGUUCCUUCCCAUUCAAACCAUUCUGGAAUUCUGUGAUUCCUGUGGGUCGUGAGUGGGAAGAGCCAUGGGCACAGCAGUCAUCCCAGAAGGCUGGGUGCUGCAGCUCUGAGCGCUCCCAAUCCCAGGGAUCCAUGAGGGGAUCCACGAGGGGAUCCACGAGGGGACCCAUGAGGGGAUCCAUGAGGGGAUCCAUGAGGGAAACCGUGAGGGAAUCCAUGAAGGGAUCCUGAGAGGAUCCAUGAGGGGAUCCAUGAAGGGAUCC
rnacentral:lncRNA from 1 species